GACGAACCGAGCGAACGUUGUUCGGAAUCACUGGGCUUAAAGGGCGCGUAGGCGGGCCGCCGCGUCCGGGGUGAAAUCCUCCCGCUCAACGGGAGAACGGCCUCGGAUACGGGCGGCCUGGAGGGGGGUAGGGGCGUGCGGAACUAACGGUGGAGCGGUGAAAUGCGUUGAUAUCGUUAGGAACUCCGGUGGCGAAGGCGGCACGCUAGACCUCUUCUGACGCUGAGGCACGAAAGCCAGGGGAGCGAACGGG
rnacentral:rRNA from 1 species